rnacentral:rRNA from 1 species
UACGUAGGGGGCAAGCGUUGUCCGGAUUUAUUGGGCGUAAAGAGCGUGUAGGCGGCUAGGUAGGUCCGUUGUGAAAACUCGAGGCUCAACCUCGAGACGCCGGUGGAAACCAUCUAGCUAGAGUCCGGAAGAGGAGAGUGGAAUUCCUGGUGUAGCGGUGAAAUGCGCAGAUAUCAGGAAGAACACCCGUGGCGAAGGCGGCUCUCUGGUACGUGACUGACGCUGAGGUGCGAAAGCGUGGGGAGCAAGCAGG